rnacentral:lncRNA from 1 species
AAAUGGAAAAAACCUGCUCGCAAGAAAAGUAGUUUUCCCACGCGAGUGCUGGGCACUGUGCGUGUGUGCACAGUGGCCAUAGGGCGUGCACACAGCAAGCACGUCACCUCCGCAUGCACGCACGAACGCACAUGCGGACAGCACGCACGUCCCUUCCGCGUGCAGCAGUACGGUAGUGCACCACAACGGCCUUAGGCAGUGUGCCGCUGCCGCUGGUGGAGGAAAUUUUUCUCCCUAGUUUUUCAUGUUAAGAAUCUUUUUCUCUCUUCACCGACUUUUGCCACUUGGAAUGAAUCCAACGGUUUUAAAAUUCUAUAAAUUGUCCUUCCCCUUCUCU